rnacentral:lncRNA from 13 species
AGGCAUUAGAUUCUCAUAAGAAGUGCACAACCUAGAUUUCUCACAUGUGCAGUUCACAUGGGGUUUGAGCUUCUGUGAGAAUCAGAUGUCUGGGCUGAUCUGACAGGAGGCAGAGCUCAGGUGGUAAAGCUCGCUCACCCACCACUCACCUCCUGAUGUGCAGCCGGGUUCCUGACAGGCCAUGGACAGGAACCUACCAAGGGUCCUACAUUGCAUUUAGCUGUCAUGUCUCCUCAGUCUGCUCUCGUCUGACUUUCUUCUCCAGUACUAUGGCUCCUUGAGCACUGAGGAUUGAAGGCCAGCCUGACAUGAAGAACCUUAGGAAACUUCAUAUUAGCUUCAUGGAGUCAGGUGAAGGCAAGGCAACAUUCCAAGUUUAACUCUAAGAAGUGUGUUCCGACAAAGCAUCGCAUGU